GCAUAUCAAUAAGCGGAGGAAAAGAAACCAACCGGGAUUGCCCUAGUAACGGCGAGUGAAGCGGCAAAAGCUCAAAUUUGAAAUCUGGUACCUUCGGUGCCCGAGUUGUAAUUUGGAGAGGGCAACUUUGGCGCCGUUCCUUGUCUAUGUUCCUUGGAACAGGACGUCAUAGAGGGUGAGAAUCCCGUGUGGCGAGGAGUGCGGUUCUUUGUAAAGUGCCUUCGAAGAGUCGAGUUGUUUGGGAAUGCAGCUCUAAGUGGGUGGUAAAUUCCAUCUAAAGCUAAAUAUUGGCGAGAGACCGAUAGCGAACAAGUACAGUGAUGGAAAGAUGAAAAGAACUUUGAAAAGAGAGUGAAAAAGUACGUGAAAUUGUUGAAAGGGAAGGGCAUUUGAUCAGACAUGGUGUUUUGUGCCCUCUGCUCCUUGUGGGUAGGGGAAUCUCGCAUUUCACUGGGCCAGCAUCAGUUUUGGUGGCAGGAUAAAUCCAUAGGAAUGUAGCUUGCCUCGGUAAGUAUUAUAGCCUGUGGGAAUACUGCCAGCUGGGACUGAGGACUGCGACGUAAGUCAAGGAUGCUGGCAUAAUGGUUAUAUGCCGCCCGU
rnacentral:rRNA from 1 species